AAUUAGCUAAACAAAGAAAUCAUGGCGGAUUGUUUACAUUUGGCAGCGCCCGGGCUGCGCCGACCGCCGGCCCCGAGCCGCCGCGGGCCCCGAGGAGUCGGCCGAGCUGCUCCCGCGCCCUGGCCGGCUGGGUCUUCAUCCUCAUUGUACUCCCUUGGCAUCUCAUGGUGACGUGACUUAGAAGGUGGUGCAGAGACGUUUGAAACUAUUGCUUUGCUGAAAACAUCUGACUGCCAGGCUAGGAUGUGACACUUAAGGGACUUACCAAUUUGGGAUUCUUCCAGGAGCUGAAAACUGAUUACAAAUAUGAAACAGAUUUCACUACAGGACUUGAACCCUACAUUAAAAAACAACAAGCUCUCCAAAAUAAUUGAAAAAGAUCUUCACCAAAGAGUAGCUGCAAUGUGAAUGGCAGGAUAUGAAGCAAGUAAGAGAUGGUGAAAAGAUUAUCUUAAGCUUGGAAUUAAGUGAUGAAAGGGACCUUAGAAAUGAUCAACUCUAAAUACUUCUUUACAGGAAAAUUGAAAGCAGUUAAGAACCUGCCCCCUGCCAUGGAGUUCUUGGUGCCGUGAGUUGGAGUUUUUGGUGCCUGGGUGCAUCCCCAAGGCCACUGGUCUUCAGAUGUUUCUUACUUGAGAAGAACGCCUCCGCCUCCUGGCUCUCCCACCAGUGGUACUGCUACCACCACACACCAGCAUAAAGCACAGAUUGCUGCCCAGCUCCUUGGAGAGGGGCCAGUGCAUUUGUCAGGAAUUGAAAAGUUUUGGAGCCAGUUCGAGGACUUUCUGCUGCACAAAGUGUUGGCUGGAAGCAUGAUUAUCUCACACAGAGCUGUUGGAAUUACUUCGUGAUGAUUUCAAAGAAAAUUUUCAUCUCUGAACACUCUUAUCCCAAGGGCAUCCUAAAGAUCCUCUGGAAUGCAUUGGGUGAGAGAGAAAGUUCUGUGUCAACUCUUCUGGCAGAGGGAAAAGCUGACCGAGGAAGUCAAAAUGAAAGAAAGAAGCAGACGGGACUGAGGCUCCCUGAGAUGCAGAAACUGAGGCACAGAGCAAGGAUGUGCCACAGCAGAAGCGAGUUGUGUUGGCAGUAGGAAACAAGAUAAAGAGGAGAACUCAAAGAAUUGAGAGACGGUUUUGAACAUGAUGAUGGAGAAAUAACACUCUUGGGAGAAAUGAAGAUACUUUCUCCUCCCUGGUUUACCUGAGUUUCCAGCUUUCUCCUCCCUGGUUUACCUGAGUUUCCAGCACCCAGUGAUAAGAAAGGAUGGCAUUAGUGAUGUGUACACCUGCAGUGAUAGCUUCACCUUUCUAAAGCAGAUGCCUUGGUAGACAUUUUGCCAGUCCUCCUUUCUCACUAUACACACAGCUUGGUGUACGCUGGCAGACUUUUGACCUAAUUUCUUAACCCUCAAAUAUUCCAAGACAGAACAAAGCACACAACAAAACCUGAAUGAGGCAGGGCAAAGUGGCUCAUGCCUGUAAUCCCAGCACUUUGGGAGGCCAAGGGGUGGGCAGAUCACUUGAGGUCAGGAGUUUGAGACCAGCCUAGGCAACAUGGUGAAACCCCGUCUCUACUGAAAAUACAAAAAUCAGCCGAGUGUGGUGGCAGAUGCCUGUAAUCCCAGCUACUGGGGAGGCUGAGACACAAGAAUCACUUGAACCCAGGAGGGGGAGUUUGCAGUGAGCCGAGAUUGUGCCACUGCAUGCCAGCCUGAACAACAGAGCAAGACUCUGUCACAAAAACAAACAAAAAACUGAAUGAAUGGAAGCAGAUAAGUGCAGAGAGAAACACUGAUUUACCUUGAGAAAGAUAAACAAGUAGUAUAUUGAUAUACUUGUAUAUUGCUAUCUACUAGUAUAGCUUCAAUUGGUGUAUGAGUAUAGAACUAUUGGGUUGUUCUUUAUGUGAUUACUCCUUCCCAGUUUUAGUAAAGUAUUCCAAUUUGAGGGAAAUUCUUUUAUUUGUCAAUAAAAUAAAAAGAGGUAAGUUUUAAAAUCUGUAUAGUUCUUCCUUCAUGCUAGUUGCCUCUCUUUUUGAUAUUUCUUCUAUAAAAAUCUUUUCUUAUAUUCAUUUUUCAUUGUAUAGAUCAUGAAGGAACCAUAGUGAUUAUCAAAGAUCAAGUUCAAGGCAGAGUUCCACCUUUCCCCAUGAAGCCCUUCCAGACUUGUUUACAUGUAAUACCCUUGAAGGCAAGACUCAUGUCUAUGCUAUCUUUGCUGGUAUUUGGCACUUAUUAGGUAUAAGGGCAAUUAGACCAUAUCAAUUAAUGAUCAGUAAGAAUAGAUAAAGUAGAUGUUUUUGUGAGCCUCUCAAAGAAGAUUUAUAGAAUAUUUUGGAAAUGGGGCCAAUUUGUUUCUAAAGGAAAAUUUACUUUCAAAUUAAAAAAAAAAAAUCACUCAAAUGAGAUUUUGGGGGAUUUCAUAUGAUUAACUCUUUACAUUAUCUUGUGGUAAUUAUACAGAAAUCUCUAUUUAUGUAAACACAGUAAAUGCAUCAUAACACUAGAAUAAGUAUACAAAUACUGCAUGUCAAAUUAGGUUAUAAUCACUUUGAAGGGACGUGAUUUCCUAGCUAAACAGAUUCGUUUACAUUUUGCAAAAUAAAAAAUAAGUGAAAAUAACUAUAUAAAAUCAGGCUUACAGCUGGACAGAUCUUCUUGGCAAUGGUCCAGACACUGAGCAGGGAAAAGCCCCUCCAGCUGAGGAACAUUCAGGACGCUCAGGACGACUUUGCAGGCGCGGCCGGGAUAGAGGCCCUUUUUGGGGUUGCCUUGACUGUGCACCCUGUUCCUGGCUACCUGUGGGGAGAUAAGCUGAAUUCACAUUUCAGAUGAGACUCUUUUUGUGAGAGGUCUGGGGUGGGAUGUGGGAAGUGGAGUGAAAACCUGCUUAGUAGGGGAGCCAAAAAAACAAGCAAUCCAACACUUCACCUUUAGGUAAUAAACAUAAUAGAAAAAGUCAGGAAUUCUCUAACUAAAAAGCAGAUAGUGGAAGCUAGCAUCGGACUCACUGAAUUUUAGAAUCAGGGUUUGUGUACCAUGGAUUAUCUGGCCCAGCCCUUGUCACUGGAUGAGAAAACUCUGGCUAUAGGGCAAGAAGCAGUGCUAGGACUGAGAUCCAGAAUGUUACCCUCGAAUCUGGAACUUAUUUAUGAGAUAAAUAAAGCUCAUAUUUUCAAGAGAGAUAAUUAUUUUAAAACUACUCAUUUCAAUGUGUAUCUUAAAAAAAUAAAUACAUUUCGGACCAGGCGUGAUGGCUCAUGCCUGUAAUCCCAGCACUUUGGGAGGCCAAGGUGGGCAGAUCACGAGGUCAGUUUGAGACCCGCCUGGCCAACAUAGUGAAACUCCGUCUCUACUAAAAAUAAAAAUAAAAAAAUUAGUUGGGCAUGGUGGCACGCACCUGUAGUCCCAGCUACUCAGGAGGCUGAAGCAGGAGAAUCGCUUGAACCCAUGAGGCAGAGGUUGUGGUGAGCCGAAAUUGUGUCACUGCACUCCAGCCUGGGCAACAGAGCAAGACUCCAUCUCAAAAAAUAAACAAACCAACAAACAAACAAAAAACAUUUCACAUCUCCCUGACUUAGCCAACAUUUUCUGCAACAUUCUCUUAUUUUGAUGUUAGAAGGGCAUAACUAUAAAUCUCAGUUUUUAUAUGGUAUUAUAUAAUAUAGCGGCAUCCUUUGUGGCCAGUUGAUUGUGAAGAGCAGUUUGCCUUUACUUAGCUUCCAUGAACAUUAGCUUUAAAUGCUCAUUGACAUUAAUAAGAGCCAGUUUGCUAAAUCUGUGUCUCCUUCAUGUUCAUUUGCUACUUAGUUUUGUUGAUUCCAAGAAGUCACUAAUUUUUUUAAAUCAUAAAUUCUGAUUUUGAGGUAGCUUCAUUUUUCUGGUGUUGAGUAAAAUGUGUGUGUGCGUGCUUUAUUUAAUUAAUACUAAUUUUUAUUCAAAAUAUAUUUGUUGAGCACUUACUCUCUGCUGUGGCUGGGCAUACAUUACUUUCUUUCCACAGUCCAUUGGUUGAAUUGUUCUGAGCAGCAGUUGACAAAUGAUGGCCUGUGAGCCAAAUCUACCCCACUGCCUGUUUUUGUAAAUAAAGCUUUAUCAGAACAUA
rnacentral:lncRNA from 1 species